rnacentral:rRNA from 1 species
GGAAUGUUUACACAUGCAAGUCGAGCGGCAGCGCGGGGGCACCUGGCGGCGAGCGGCGAACGGGUGAGUAAUACAUCGGAACAUGUCCAGUUGUGGGGGAUAGCCCGGCGAAAGCCGGGAUUAAUACCGCAUGAGCUCGAGAGAGGAAAGCGGGGGACGUAAGGCCUCGCGCGAUGGGUUGGCCGAUGUCCGAUUAGCUAGUUGGUGGGGUAAAGGCCUACCAAGGCGAUGAUCGGUAGCUGGUCUGAGAGGAUGAUCAGCCACACUGGGACUGAGACACGGCCCAGACUCCUACGGGAGGCAGCAAGUGGGGAAAUUUUGGACAAUGGGGGCAAGCCUGAUCCAGCCAUUCCGCGUGAGUGAAGAAGGCCUUCGGGUUGUAACGCUCUUAUGUCCGGAGCGAAACGGUUACGGUGAAUAUCCGUGACUACUGACGGUACCGGAAGAAUAAGCACCGGCUAACUACGUGCAGCAGAAC